UUCUUCGAGAGUUUGAUCCUGGCUCAGAACGAACGCUGGCGGCGUGCUUAAUACAUGCAAGUCGUACGAGAAAGUCCCUUCGGGGAUGAGUAAAGUGGCGCACGGGUGAGUAACACGUAGGUAACCUACCUCAGGGACCGGGACAACCUACCGAAAGGUGGGCUAAUACCGGAUAAGACCACGGGGGCUUCGGCCCCAGCGGUAAAAGUUGGCCUCUGCUUGCAAGCUAGCGCCAAGAGAUGGGCCUGCGGACCAUUAGCUUGUUGGUGGGGUAACGGCCUACCAAGGCUGAGAUGGUUAGCUGGUCUGAGAGGAUGAUCAGCCACACUGGGACUGAGACACGGCCCAGACU
rnacentral:rRNA from 1 species